GACGAACGCUGGCGGCGUGCUUAACACAUGCAAGUCGAACGGAAAGGCCCCAGCUUGCUGGGGUACUCGAGUGGCGAACGGGUGAGUAACACGUGGGUGAUCUGCCCUGCACUCUGGGAUAAGCCUGGGAAACUGGGUCUAAUACCGGAUAGGACCGUGCUUUAGUGUGUGCGGUGGAAAGUUUUUAGGUGCAGGAUGAGCCCGCGGCCUAUCAGCUUGUUGGUGGGGUAAUGGCCUACCAAGGCGGCGACGGGUAGCCGGCCUGAGAGGGUGUACGGCCACAUUGGGACUGAGACACGGCCCAGACUCCUACGGGAGGCAGCAGUGGGGAAUAUUGCACAAUGGGCGCAAGCCUGAUGCAGCGACGCCGCGUGGGGGAUGACGGCCUUCGGGUUGUAAUCCACUUUCGGCAGGGACGAAGCUUUUGUGACGGUACCUGCAGAAGAAGCACCGGCUAACUACGUG
rnacentral:rRNA from 1 species